GGCAACCUGGCGUCGGUAGCGAUUUGGUUCAACCACACGACUUUUAUCCAGAAUCUGACCCAGAGGGAGAGACUGCUGAAGAAGUUCAAACUCUACAACUGCAGCAGGACUUUUCUGAAUGGUGCUCCUGUGGAAACUGUGCAACCAUGCCCACAGAAGCUGAGAACAUCUGCUGCUAGGAGAUACCACAGGUUACCAGACGGCUAUGGGAGAUUAAGGAAGAUUUAUCAUGUAUGGUCGGCCGUCCUGGGUUGGAGCCGCUCUGCCUCAUUGUGUUCUGCCUGCAACAUGUACCGCACUGACUAUGGUCCUUU